CCUGUGGUGCUAACACCUCACCUGCAGAUCCAGCCUUGAACAUUGCACCUUAAAAUGCUCCGGAAAAGAUAUUAUAUGGAAUCAAUUUGAGCCGGAACACACCUCAUGUUCACAUUCUUAUGCUGGCUCCCUGUUAAACAGGACUAAAAUUUUGCAACACAAUUAUAAAAGUUGAUUACCAUUGUUCGGAGCAUUACACGGACACAUAGCCACAGGUAAACCCAGGCACAUAGAUAACACCUUAGUCUUCAAAGACCCAGGAGUCAAAUCUCUUUAGUUAAGAUCUUUUGUCCAUGUUUAUACGAACAAAACACAUUAGCCUCACACACAUAGAACAGAAUAAUUAAUCUGAUGACAGACGAGACAACAAACACCCUCUGACACCCUCUGUCAGCUGAAAAGAAAUUACACAUUUGCAUGGCUUUGACAACAAAUUGAUGGUAUAAAACUUCAAUAGAGGCGAACUUGCCAUAGAUACACUGACUGUUGUGGGGAUGGUUGACAAACCAGAGGGCCCCUGGUUUUCCAAUCUAUCACCAAUAACAGGUGUAAGUGCUAAAGUGAUUAAAAUUAAACCGAAGUGAGGACACUUCUAAUAAUCACUAGGACAUUUUAAAUUUGACAAAUACCAUCAAUUGUGUUCAAGCCCCCCCACACACACAUAAACACACACACACACACACACAAACACACACAAACACACACACACACACACACAUAAACACACACACACACACACACC
ensembl:processed_transcript